GGGCCGGUAGCUCAGCAUGGUUAGAGCGCGGGACUCUUAAUCCCGUGGUCGGGGGUUCGAAUCCCCCUCGGCCCGCCA
rnacentral:tRNA from 1 species